rnacentral:rRNA from 1 species
AGAGUUUGAUCCUGGCUCAGAUUGAACGCUGGCGGCAGGCCUAACACAUGCAAGUCGAACGGUAGCACAGAGAGCUUGCUCUUGGGUGACGAGUGGCGGACGGGUGAGUAAUGUCUGGGAAACUGCCCGAUGGAGGGGGAUAACUACUGGAAACGGUAGCUAAUACCGCAUAACGUCGCAAGACCAAAGUGGGGGACCUUCGGGCCUCACACCAUCGGAUGUGCCCAGAUGGGAUUAGCUAGUUGGUGAGGUAAUGGCUCACCAAGGCGACGAUCCCUAGCUGGUCUGAGAGGAUGACCAGCCACACUGGAACUGAGACACGGUCCAGACUCCUACGGGAGGCAGCAGUGGGGAAUAUUGCACAAUGGGCGCAAGCCUGAUGCAGCCAUGCCGCGUGUAUGAAGAAGGCCUUCGGGUUGUAAAGUACUUUCAGCGAGGAGGAAGGCAUUAAGGUUAAUAACCUUAGUGAUUGACGUUACUCGCAGAAGAAGCACCGGCUAACUCCGUGCCAGCAGCCGCGGUAAU